AUUGAACGCUGGCGGCAGGCCUAACACAUGCAAGUCGAGCGGAUGACGGGAGCUUGCUCCUGGAUUCAGCGGCGGACGGGUGAGUAAUGCCUAGGAAUCUGCCUGGUAGUGGGGGACAACGUUUCGAAAGGAACGCUAAUACCGCAUACGUCCUACGGGAGAAAGCAGGGGACCUUCGGGCCUUGCGCUAUCAGAUGAGCCUAGGUCGGAUUAGCUAGUUGGUGAGGUAAUGGCUCACCAAGGCGACGAUCCGUAACUGGUCUGAGAGGAUGAUCAGUCACACUGGAACUGGGACACGGUCCAGACUCCUACGGGAGGCCGCAGUGGGGAAUAUUGGACAAUGGGCGAAAGCCUGAUCCAGCCAUGCCGCGUGUGUGAAGAAGGUCUUCGGAUUGUAAAGCACUUUAAGUUGGGAGGAAGGGCAGUAAGCGAAUACCUUGCUGUUUUGACGUUACCGACAGAAUAAGCACCGGCUAACUCUGUGCCAGCCGCCGCGGUAAGAC
rnacentral:rRNA from 1 species